rnacentral:rRNA from 1 species
CACGUAGGGUGCAAGCGUUGUCCGGAAUUAUUGGGCGUAAAGGGCUCGUAGGCGGUCCGUCGCGUCGGGAGUGAAAACUCGGGGCUCAACCCCGAGCCUGCUUUCGAUACGGGCGGACUAGAGGUAGGUAGGGGGAGAACGGAAUUCCUGGUGUAGCGGUGGAAUGCGCAGAUAUCAGGAGGAACACCGGUGGCGAAGGCGGGUCUCUGGGCCGAUACUGACGCUGAGGAGCGAAAGCAUGGGUAGCGAACAGG